UAGGGAAUCUUCCGCAAUGGACGAAAGUCUGACGGAGCAACGCCGCGUGAGUGAAGAAGGAUUUCGGUUCGUAAAACUCUGUUGUUAGGGAAGAAAAAAUGUAUAGUAACUAUAUACAAAAGAGACGGUACCUAACCAGAAAGCCACGGCUAACUACGUGCCAGCAGCCGCGGUAAUACGUAGGUGGCAAGCGUUGUCCGGAAUUAUUGGGCGUAAAGCGCGCGCAGGUGGGGUAGAAAGUCUGAUGUGAAAGCCCACGGCUCAACCGUGGAGGGUCAUUGGAAACUAAUAAACUUGAGUGCAGGAGAGAAAAGUGGAAUUCCUAGUGUGGCGGUGAAAUGCUUAGAGAUUAGGGGGAACACCGGGGGCGAAAGCGGUUUUUUGGCCUGCAACUGACACUGAGGCGGGAAAGCAGGGGGAGCAAACAGG
rnacentral:rRNA from 1 species